GGGGAAUAGGUGAUAUUCAUUGUUAGGCAGC
rnacentral:piRNA from 1 species